CCUACGGGAGGCAGCAGUGGGGAAUAUUGCGCCAUGGGCGAAAGCCUGACGCAGCGACGCCGCGUGAGGGAUGAAGGUCUUCGGAUCGUAAACCUCUGUCAGCAGGGAAGAACGGUCACUGUGCUAAUCAGCAGUGAAUUGACGGUACCUGCAAAGGAAGCACCGGCUAACUCCGUCCCAGCAGCCGCGGUAAUACGGAGGGUGCGAGCGUUAAUCGGAUUUACUGGGCGUAACGCGCUCGUAGGCGGUAUGUCACGUCAAGGGUGAAAUCCCCGCGCUCAACGUGGGAACUGCCUUUGAAACGGGCAAACUGGAGUGUGGGAGAGGAUAGUGGAAUUCCAGGUGUAGGAGUGAAAUCCGGAGAUAUCUGGAGGAACAUCAGUGGCGAAGGCGACUAUCUGGCACAUAACUGACGCUGAGGAGCGAAAGCGUGGGUAGCAAACAGGAUUAGAUACCCUAGUAGUC
rnacentral:rRNA from 1 species